rnacentral:lncRNA from 1 species
AACUAAGUCCUGGAUACUGACAUCUUAUGCAUAUUUAAAAACAUAAAAAAAACAGCCAACACAUAUACAACCAUUUAACAUCAUACAUCCAGUGGCCUCAAAACUAUGGGAAGACCGAACUUAGGCUGAAGCGUUAUAUGAUCCGCAGGUGCAUGCACAUAACUUGAGGAAAGUGUGAAGGAGAAUUUCUUCAGGAUCAUGGCCAUAACUGACUUUGCUUCUAACAUUGCGAAGUUCUGACCGAUGCAUGACCUUGGUCCUAUUGAGAAUGAUAAAAGAGCUUGUGGGGUCUUUGCUGCAUUUGUGAUGCCAUUCUCAAACCUCAAUGGAUCAAAAUCAUUGGCAUUGUCACCCCAAACCUCUUUGUCUCGGUGGAGAAAUGGAAUAGGUAUGACAAUUCCAUUGCCUUUAGGUAUGCUGAGGCUUCCCAAUCUUAUAUCGGAGAUAGGCUUUCUUAGCAUGAGCAAAACAGGACCGUAGAGUCUCAGUGUCUCAAGGAGCACCAUCGUCAUCUGCAAUGUCAAUCUUCAGUGUUAGCAACAGCUCAAGAUUAUUAUGAAUAUUGCAAUAGUCACAAGUAGACACUGGAAUCCACGCAAGAUCUGUUCUCGAUACCUCUUUCAGUUUGUUAAGCAUGUCUGCAGUAGGAUUUUCCUUUCCACAUUCUCUCAGGACCUCCUCUCUUAGCCGUUCCUGCCAUUCUGGAUAAACACUAAGCAAGAACAUUGUCCAGGUAAGCAAAUGGGAUGUGGUCUCAUGGCCGGCAAAGAAGAACGUCUUGCACUCGUCUAUGAUCUCAUCCAUGGUCAGGGUCAACUCAUCUCGUUUGUCUCCUUGUUCUGUUGUGAGGCAAGCCUCAAGCAUGAGACCGAGCAGAUCGUCUCCGUAUCCACCUCCAUUGGAUGCCAACCGGGGCUGUAUGAUUGCCAUGAGCAUCGUCUUAAUCUUCUUCUCUAGCAUCCACUUCAGUCUGUUGUUUUUAGUAGGAAGAUACCUGGAAGUAAAGAAUUCAUUAACCAAGCAUUAUUAGGAUGCAUAGAAAAAGCAAGAUUACUUCUGACCAAGAAAUAUAUUGACUUGCUUGAAUCCUGGCAGUUGCACAUUGAGGAGAGUUGCCAUGGCUAGUGCCAGGAGCUGCUUCUGCGUAUGGAAGACCUCUUUGCCCUCCUUAUAACUGCUUCCAAAACCAGUAUGGGAUAUGACGUCUGCCGUCAAGUCCUGAAAUUGUUUGCUGAAUUCCACUUCCACUUCUCUGCUUUCGUUCCUGGACGCAAGCUGUUCCCACUCCUUGAUCAAUGACUCAGCACAGCUGACCAUCGUCGCCGUCAUCAUCUACAUCGUAGAACCAUAUAUAAAUGCAUUUUGAGAAUGUGUCACCGGUGGGAAAUGGGAAAUUGCCGGUGAGCUGAAAAUCGAGCAGGUUAUCAUUAUCACCUUGAGUUUGUCCAUAGCAAAAGCUGGGUUGACCACCCUUCGAUGGCGCACCCAGUCAGUGCCUUCCACCAAAACCAAGCCUUUGCCGAGCAUUGCCAGGAUAGUCGGGUGCGCAUCGUUCUUGAAGAAAUGGCCCGACUUGUUAAAAAGAACCUGCCUUACCGACUCGUAAUCGAGGAGGCAGAUCCGGGGCUGUGGACCGAACCAGUACAGAAAUGGCCCUCCUGCACGAGGUUCAAAUGCAAAAUCUUCAGUUCUAUUCCAUAUGGACACGGUUGAUUGACUGUGUGACAAGGUAGACUAAGAUAUGUUCACCCCCUAUGCUAUACAUACUAGAGAAUUAACACUUGUAGCAAGCCAUGCAAACUGUAUAUUAUCACUGUCUCUAGAUUUUUAAUGAAGAGAUCUUCUGUAAUUCUGUCUCUCUGGUAUAGGAUUAUUUUUCGUUUCAGUGUGUUGCACUGCCUGGAGCCAAGUGCAGUUUUCCCGGAGCAAUACUAGUAGUACAGAAAAGUUGUGCUAGCAUGAAAUUAGUGAAAAAUAUGUCAAGCAGAGCAGGAAGAGCCGAACAGAGCACACACAUAUAAGUAAGUACAUAACAUUAAACAUCUGGAGACAGUGGUUGUAUCCUAUCAUCCCUAUGAUUGAAAAAACAGACAUUACCGUACUGUUGCUUCCAGGUGAGGAAGUGGGGCAUCACCCUGGGGAGGUAGUUGUGGUCGCGGACGUCCAGCCGAAGCGCGUCGGCCGCCGCCUUCAUCCUCCUCAUCUCGUGGUUGUUGCCCCUGAGGAAGCUGCAGGGCGGUCCGCGGACCCCCUGCGCCCUGAACAUGCCGGCCACGGCGCGGGGCCGCCACAGGAGGCGCACCACGGCGUAGUCCCAGAGCCAGGCCGCCGCCAGCGCCAGGAGCGCCGUCGCCGAGGCCACGAGCAGCACGGACGCCAUGGCCGCACACGGUUUGAGGCCUUGAUUGGCGUCCGCUCUGUUUCCGCUCACGGUGGCAGUGCCGUGCCUUGGCCGUCUCUAGGCUGUGAUAUGACUAUAUGAGAGAUUUGGUUUGACCCAUUGCAGCUCCUCAGCGAAGCCAAGGGGAAAAAAAAGAACAAUAGAACUGCUCCAAAUAGCGACGGAGAACUGUUUCGGACUGAACUGGCUAUGCCGAAAACGUACUUCUUUUGCUUGCAGAAAUCACCAUCAUCCUUAUCUCUGGGUUUAUUUUUGCAAGUGGAUCGGACAUGGAUGCCCGGCAACUCGAAUAUGACAUAUUGAGCUAGCCAAAUUUGACAUCGGAUACGUCACUCUGAGAGCUACAUUAUAUUAGUUAAAAAUUGGAUGGAGAUGGAGCCUGCCACAACCGCAAAUCAUCGAUUCUGUUGGCUGCCGUGAGGUCACCGGUGACAAUAUUAUUCGUUGAUUUAUGUUUGAGAAAAAUACUGGUAGAAAAAAUACAGCUUAUAAAAUAAGCGAACAUGCUCGACAUUGAUACCAAGCUCAUGAGUCACGAAUCAUGACCAUUCGGGCUUGGUGGUCUCACUCUCACAAGAAAAUAAGGCUUGCACACUCCCACUUCUUUUUAGGGAGUGUUUUGUUGGGUGUUAAACUUUAACAAAUACUAUAGCAUUUUGUUUUAUUUGAUAAUUAAUGUUUAAUUAUAGACUAAUUAGGCUAAAAAAUUAUCUUACAAAUUAUUCUUUAUCAGUGUUUUUAGUUUUAUAGAUAGUAUAUAUUUAGUACUCUAUGUGUCCAAACAUUCGAUGUGACGAGAGUUAAAAAAUUAAGAGAAACCAAACAGAGCCUUAGGAGCAACAUCUACAGAAAAAAGGCCAUCAACCGUAGCGAAUUAGGAUACGCUCCUCAUGACCUCGUAGACUUGGAUGCACCGUUUAGAAAACACAAGAAAUAUAAACUAUGGUGAAAGACAUGCCGGCAGAAAAAAGCACCGGGUCCAGAUGACUUCAUAUGAGUUUUCUAUAAAUAAAAUGUUGGUCGAUUAUCAAAGGAGACUUGAUACAAGCGAUCUUGAGCUUUUACAGCCACCGAACCACAAGACUGAACUUAUAAUCAAUGAUGAAGCAAACAUCGUCCUGUUGCCCAAAACACAAGAUGCAACAUCACUCUCUGAUUAUAGACCCAUAAGUCUCAUCAAUAGGGUUACCAAAAUCAUCACAAAAAUUUUAGCAAAUAGACUGGCACCCCACAUGAACUCCCUAGCUAGUGUCACAUGCUCAAAAUGCUUUCAUCAAGAAGAGAUGUAUUCAUGAUAAUUCAUCAACGCACAAAAAGUAUAUAUGCACCUACAAACUAAAUGCACACUCUCUAUUUUACUCUAGCUUCGUCAACUGCCGCCAAAAAGCAGCCGCACGCGGUGCUCUCUAUACGUUUUUGAAGGCAGUCGGCAGGGAAGUUCCCUACCUAUUUUUUGUUUUUUUUGUUUUUUGUAUUUAUGAACAACAAAAGAAUAAAGUAUUUACAGGGAGUUACAGAGCCCUCAGGGCCAAAAGAAGAAAAACGAAAAGUAUUAGAGCUUAUUCUCACACCAAGAUUUCAAAGGGCCUGCAAUUCUGCUCUUAGCCUUGAUACAAACCAGACUAAGUUCUUCUUUUAGCGGUAAUCGCCAUUGUAGCAAGGAGUGCUCUCUAUAGGUGGAUAGGUAGCCUCGCUUACCCAACCCAACAAACACAGAGCAGGCCGUGCCGUGCAUCUAACCCCCACGCCCACCCAGGCUUUCACGCCGAGUGGACCGUGCGUCCCAGUGCUGGGCCAGGUGGGCUGAAGGGUGCUCGCCCUGCACUCAACGAUGCCCGCCCGUGGGUAGCAGUAGCACUCGCCCAGCGCCAGGAACUCGCCUGCCACGGUGCUCGCCACUCCAGUGCUGCUCGGUCCAGCGUCUGCUAAUCGGCCAGGCCGAGUAGCCCAAUCGGCCAAGCCGAUUUCCAGUACAGCAGUAAUUUUGUUUUGAUCACUGAAAAAAAAAAAGCAAUUUUGUUCUGUGUGUUUCUUGCGUUUCUUCGAUUUGUUUUGAGUGCCACUGUACUAAUUAAGGAACUUUUCUCAAUCUUCGGUCACUCGUUGGCCUGAGGGUCUCAAGUUGGGCUUUUGCCUUUCUGUGGUGGAGGUGGAGAGCGUCGUUUCCGGGUUUUAGGUGUUGCACCGGUUCUUGAUGUGUAGAGGUGUCCAUAUAUUCCAAGUAAACAUUCAGCUACUAGUUGGCUCGAGGGCAUCUCGCUUGAAGUAUUUUAAGUUUUUGAAGGUGAUUUUAGAAUGGUGAUCAUUUCAAGAGAAAUCUUGAAUUGGCUUCCAUUCACCUCCUCUCUAGUCGCCUUGUUCGGUCCUUUGAAAUCUGUUACUCCGUACUUUCCUCGGAGAGAAAAAAAACAAGUGACAUUUGGGAUUACUGUACAUAAAUGCACAUUCUGUGCUUCUCUACCUACGAAAUCAUGGCAACCAUCCGAAUCCGAAUCCGCAAAUCUAUAGGCAGUAAAAAGAUCUGUAAUUCAGCAUAGCUGUCCAGGCAAGAGUUUGUAAACUCAGGUAAUUCAACUCAGAAUGAACUCUGAAUACAAAGUUUUAUGUAGCAUCGUAUAUUGUAUACAUAGUAUGGGCAUAAAGUCCCAGAAAGUUACCCAUUUUCAACAAGUUUUGGUUCUUUAGGCGUACUGUUUGGCGGAUGAAACUAAGUCCUAAAUACUGGCAUCGAUCUUAUGCAUAUUUAGACAUAAAAUUUUCAGCUAGCAUCAUACAUCCAGUGGCCUCAAAACUAUGGGAAGACCGAACUUAGGCUGAAGCGUUAUAUGAUCUGCAGGUGCAUGCACAUAACUUGAGGAAAGUGUGAAGGAGAAUUUCUUCAGGAUCAUGGCCAUUACUGACUUUGCUUCUAACAUUGCGAAGUUCUGACCGAUGCAUGAUCUUGGUCCUAUUGAGAAUGACAGAAGAGCCUGUGGGGUCUUUGCUGCAUUUGUGAUCCCAUUCUCAAACCUCAGUGGAUCAAAAUCAUUGGCAUUGUCACCCCAAACCUCUUUGUCUCGGUGGAGAAAUGGAAUAG